AAAAAUGUGCAAUAUCCUUAUAUUUAUUUGUUACCCCUUCAUCCUAGUACAUCCCUGCAUCUUACUCAAUCCAAUUCCAUUAUCAUUUAUAGCACAAUUGUUUAUACACUUAUUUAUCUGCAAAGGGUUUUUAUUUUUUAUUUUUUUGACUGUGUGUUGUUGUCUUUUGUGUACUGGAAGCUUAUGUCACUAAAACAAAUUCCUUGUAUGCGCAAGCAUACUUGGCAAUAAAGCUCUUUCUGAUUCUGAUUCUUCUAUAGUGAAACUGUUUAUUUACAUGAACAAACCGAUUCACUAGAAUGAAUCAGACUUUCUAACUGGAACGUUUAAGAUUAACCGAAUCACUAAAAUCAAUCAGACUAUCCAAAGCUACAGUAGGCUACAUAAGAACUCUUAGAGGACCGAUGAAUCACUAAUGAUUCGGACUUUACAAUAAGAAAUUGAGAUAUUUAAAAUGGAUCGGACUACCAACGCUACAUCAGAAAUCGCAGAGACCGUUUAGGAUGAAUCGAAUCACUAGCAUGAAUCGGAUUAUCCAGUGCUACAUAAAAGAGAAAGGACCGUUUAAGAUGAAUCUAGAUCGAUUCUCUAGAACGAUUCGGACUAGGUCUACACAGCGCUACAUAAGAAAUAGAGUGAACCAUUUAGAAACCGAAUCACUAGAAUGAAUCGGAAAAAUCCAACGCUACAUAAUAAAAGAGAGGACCGUUUAGGAUGACGCGAAUAUGCAUCGUACUUCUACUCUUGAAAGAGAAAGGACUGUUGAGCAUGCAACAUGUUCUCUCUGCCUCUGGGACCAUGUGUGAGGGUGGAAGUGUCCCUCCAGGACUAGUGACCCUACUGAGGGUGCACAUUCUAACAGCUCCAGAAGCAAUGCACCCCAAACACACAGAGAGAGAGAGAGAGAGAGAGAGAGAGAGAGAGAGAGAGAGGGCAGACCUCCAGGACAGCAGCUCACCUAAAGGCCGGGACUCCUCAGGGUCAGGGUUACUCUUUCUCUCUUACCCCUGGCCAGCAUUGCUCUGCCCUUCCCUACCAUGUUACCUGAGCUGCAUGCAAUGCUGCCUUUUAUUUGAUGGAUGCGGUUUCCCACACUGA
ensembl:lncRNA